rnacentral:rRNA from 1 species
GAUGAACGCUGGCGGCGUGCCUAAUACAUGCAAGUCGAGCGAACAGAUGAGGAGCUUGCUCCUCUGACGUUAGCGGCGGACGGGUGAGUAACACGUGGAUAACCUACCUAUAAGACUGGGAUAACUUCGGGAAACCGGAGCUAAUACCGGAUAAUAUAUUGAACCGCAUGGUUCAAUAGUGAAAGACGGUUUUGCUGUCACUUAUAGAUGGAUCCGCGCCGCAUUAGCUAGUUGGUAAGGUAACGGCUUACCAAGGCAACGAUGCGUAGCCGACCUGAGAGGGUGGUCGGCCACACUGGAACUGAGACACGGACCAGACUCCUACGGGAGGCAGCAGUAGGGAAUCUUCCGCAAUGGGCGAAAGCCUGACGGAGCAACGCCGCGUGAGUGAUGAAGGUCUUCGGAUCGUAAAACUCUGUUAUUAGGGAAGAACAAAUGUGUAAGUAACUAUGCACGUCUUGACGGUACCUAAUCAGAAAGCCACGGCUAACUACGUG